rnacentral:lncRNA from 1 species
AUUUGAUGUUCUUGGUUCUUUUGGCCACAUCACAUUGCUAUUAUUGAUCACAAAUGAGGUUUCUUAACCCGUUUGAAUAUUCUAUGGUUUGUCUUAUCCAUUUUACGGGACUCUAUUUUAUUCUUCUACCAUCCACUUUUGUUUACCAACUUUCUGAGGUUCUUAUUUUAUUCGAAAUUGGUUCAACUCUUAUCAGAUUUCUAAUCUCGUUUCAAUUCGGAUA